GGUGGAGAGCAGAGAAGGAGGGCUUUGAGAACAGCAGUGUGGGAGGAGGAUGUGUCCAGUGUAUGAGGCUGAGAAAGAGCUUGAGAGUGAGGAAGGAAGAGAGGGAAGAAGACAGAGUGGAGGAAGUUGGUUACCAUGGAAUCCUCCAGCCUGAGUCGCUAGCAUGUUCGCUGCCGGGGACCUAGCAUUGCACAAAUUCGCCAUCUGUGUCUCAUCAGUUCAUAGGAAAGCCAAGAGGAGUCCUCCCGGAACACCUCACAAAUAUCAGCCGCAGGAGGGCCACAGAAGCAAGACCCUCAGUGGAAUUUUCACAACUUGAGAAGGUCGCAGCGGGCACCACAGCCUUCCUUUUCGUUUAUGCCUUCUCCCUCAGGAGAGACUUCUCAGGACAGUCUCCAUGAUUACACCAUGCUUUCAAAUUGUUUCGAGUCACUGAAGAGAAUGCACAUGCCUAGAGACGGCACAAUCAAGUAUGUGAUGCAUGUGUGUGCAAGCAAGGGUAUCAAUACCUGCCUUUUCUCCAAACGUCCAACAACAUCCUGUCCUCUGCCCUAAUCUCAGAGGUGUAAGAGAAAGUGGGUUUUGUUGUUGUUGCUGUUGUGUUUUAAUAGAAAGAUUUUUUUCAGAAAGCUUUAUUUAACACAGCUGGGUAGACAUGUUUGGUUUCUAGUGCUGAGCCCAGAAUCUCUCCCUCAGAGGAGCACUUGGCUAGCUCCUUCCACACCCACCUCAACCCUCUGCCUUUCCAGAACCUACAGGGCCACUCAAAUAGACGUUUCUUCCCCUGCUUGCUCCUUUAUGUCUCCCAGAGCUUCAUGCCCAAAGCUGUAUUUCCUCCAUGCCAUCUGUUUCACCCCCUCCCUUUUUACCCAAUCCCCAGCUUCCUUCUCUCUAAUUAUCCCCAACAGUCUGUAGGUAGAAGGAUGUAAAGAUAUAAGCAAGUGAAUCGCAUACCAUGUAAUUCAACAAUGGGAUGAGCUCUGUAUUGCACUCUUCCUCCAAGUGAGUUUUCAAUGGUAGGAUCUUCAAGCACUAUACUUGACAAAAAGCUUUUGUGGGAGUUUGUACAUGCACUUUAGCAAUAAUACUAUGGUGGUUUUGGUGUUGGUGUUGGUGUUGGUGUUGGUGUUGGUGGUGUUGGUAUUGGUGGUGGUGUUUGUUUGUUUGUUCUGUUUUUUGUUUUUUUUUACUAUUUGUGGGAAAGUAUGGUUGUGUCCGAUUGAAGCAAAGUCUCUUUAAAGACUCAUUUUAGGCUAGAGUGAUUGUUUUUUCUCUGGAAAAACCUGUGAAUUAGUGGUGUUUGAGAACUACCGGGUGGUUCCUGCUCAUUACUUCAGAACAUUUUAUUAGAAGUCUCUUUUCCCAGCAGACCUUGAGAAGCAGAAGGAAGCAGACAAUCUAUCAAACCACCAUGUAUAUAUGUGGCUCAGUGUAUAAUGCGUGUAUGUACAGCAGCCUGUAAUAGUGGCUGCCAAGGUAUGCCCUAAAUUUCCGGGGGUUCCUAAGCCAUUUUCCAUGUGUUUCUGAAGUAAAAACCAUGUUUAUAUGAAUGCUAAGGUGUUGGUUGCCUUUCCUCGCAGUGGCACCUAGCUGCAAGGGUGACCCUGAGUUCUCAAUAGAAAAAAAAGCCAGUGUCACCUACAAACAAAAUAGAAUACACAUAAAUUAUCGUAAAGUUCACUAUUUUAUAUCUUUGGGAUAUUCUGCAUGAUUAAGUGGUAAUUAUGGGUUAAUAUUUCUUCAGUAUAGCAGGCAGUGUGGCUGGUUGAUUUAUGGAAAAAUGCUAGUGAAGUUUUCUACCCAAUGGGACAGCUUAGCUUUGUUUUUUGAGACCAGCCUUGGCUAGAUAACAAAUUCAAGGCUAGCCUGGGCUAUAUGAGAAUCUGUCUCCAAAAAUAAGACAUAAUGCUUAUAUGCUAAUUAAAAAUGUAUUUACU
rnacentral:lncRNA from 1 species